rnacentral:piRNA from 1 species
UAGUCAUGAUUGGUUGCUUUUGGGGUGGGU